rnacentral:rRNA from 1 species
GAAGAACCUUACCUACUCUUGACAUCCAGAGAACUUUCCAGAGAUGGAUUGGUGCCUUCGGGAACUCUGAGACAGGUGCUGCAUGGCUGUCGUCAGCUCGUGUUGUGAAAUGUUGGGUUAAGUCCCGCAACGAGCGCAACCCUUAUCCUUACUUGCCAGCGGGUAAUGCCGGGAACUUUAGGGAGACUGCCGGUGAUAAACCGGAGGAAGGUGGGGACGACGUCAAGUCAUCAUGGCCCUUACGAGUAGGGCUACACACGUGCUACAAUGGUCGGUACAGAGGGUUGCGAAGCCGCGAGGUGGAGCUAAUCUCAUAAAGCCGGUCGUAGUCCGGAUUGGAGUCUGCAACUCGACUCCAUGAAGUCGGAAUCGCUAGUAAUCGUGGAUCAGAAUGCCACGGUGAAUACGUUCCCGGGCCUUGUACACACCGCCCGUCACACCAUGGGAGUGGGCUGCACCAGAAGUAGAUAGCUUAACCUUCGGGAGGGCGUUUACCACGGUGUGGUUCAUGACUGGGGUGAAGUCGUAACAAGGUAACCG